AACGAACGCUGGCGGCGGGCUUAACACAUGCAAGUCGAGCGCCCCGCAAGGGGAGCGGCAGACGGGUGAGUAACGCGUGGGAAUCUACCCAUCUCUACGGAAUAACGCAUGGAAACGUGUGCUAAUACCGUAUACGUCCUUCGGGAGAAAGCUUUAUCGGAGAUGGAUGAGCCCGCGUUGGAUUAGCUAGUUGGUGGGGUAAAGGCCUACCAAGGCGACGAUCCAUAGCUGGUCUGAGAGGAUGAUCAGCCACACUGGGGCUGAGACACGGCCCAGACUCCUGCGGGAGGCAGCAGUGGGGAAUAUUGGACAAUGGGCGCAAGCCUGAUCCAGCCAUGCCGCGUGGGUGAUGAAGGCCCUAGGGUUGUAAAGCUCCUUCACCGGUGAAGAUAAUGGCGGUAACCGGAGAAGAAGCCCCGGCUAACUUCGUGCCAGCCGCCGCAGUAACAC
rnacentral:rRNA from 1 species